GGGCUGAGCCGCCGGAAGGCUGGGGCUAGGGAGAAGCCCACUGCAGUGUCACUCCAGCCCCUGAAGGCGUGUGCGCACACACUCCCGCACACACACACACCCGCACACACACUCCCGGGCGCGCGCUUGGGCGGGCACGUCUGCCUCGGCCGCGCCAAGCGCACACGCCCCACCCCGGCAGCGGCUCCUCGCCCCCGGCGACGCCCCCCACUUCCCGCUCCCCGAAAGCCAUUGGAUGUAGGGGUGGCGCGGCUCCCGUGGAGCGCGCGGCGAGGGCGACUCUCCCCGCGGCGCGCCGCAGACACCGCGCCACGGCAGGAAGGAGCAGGGAGCGCAGCGGACCGAGGCGCCCGGCCGGGAAGGCGCGCUGAGCCCCCGGCGUCCGGCCCAGGGCAGCAGGAGGUGGCCGCGGACUGGCCGGCGGGGAGGCGGGAGGCGGUGGGCGGCGGCGGGGAGCGAGCGGCGGGCGCGCAGCUACUUACUAGCUUGGCCGGCCCGCGGACGGGCGUGGAGACGGCCGCGGCGCGCUUGCUGGAGUUGCAGCCGGAGACACGCUUGGCUGCCUGGAAGGCGCUGCAGGAGGCGGAGGAAGGGCCGCUGCGGCCCCGCGACAGACCUCAGCCUCCAGGUCACCUCUUGUCACCGCUCCCACCCUGGCCUCUCCCUCCUCUUUUCUCACUUCAUUUUUUUCCUCCCGUCUCCUCCCGCGCCUGGUUCUCUCGCUUGAGCCCCGAACCCACGUCCCCGCCGCACUCCGAGGAGGCCCGUACCACCCAUGAGCCUUUUGUUCUGGGACCGCUCCCGGUCUGCUGCGCUUUCCCCGCCCGGGGAAGCUCGCUCCCCAAGCGCAGCUUAGUCCCUUCCCCAGCUACCUGCAGCCCGACUGGGGCCACUGGUCGAUGGCUGGAAAGGGGGCUGGAGGGAGGCAGGGCGGCCCCGGAGGAAAGCGGAGGUGCCAAGAUCCGGCAGCUCCAGGAAGCGGCGGCCCCAGGAGCCUGGGGACCCAGCUGGGCAGAUGCGAAGGGACCCAGACCUGUUCCCGGAAAGGGGCUAAACCUGGAGCAUUCAUCUCAUGCCCUCUCACUGCCCCCGCUUGAAACCCCACAGGGGUUUGUGGUGGGGCCUCAGUCUCCAGAAAAGCCAAGUGGUGCUGAGGUGCUCUUGAAUGGGUCACUCAGAGUAUCAAGAUGA
rnacentral:lncRNA from 1 species